AAAUUUCUACCAGGCAGGAAACAGCUAGAAACAAGGUUGAGUGUUCAGUCUUCCUUCCUGCAGGAAAGGUGAUUCCCUGGAUAAUUUCACAUUAGGCUUUAAGAGCUCCUUUCCUGUGGCAUUGUGGGGGUGGAAAAAGAAAAGCCAGUCUUUUAUCUUUAUGGAAAUCUCACUGUUCGGAUACAAAAGUCUGUAAUAGAGGAUUGUUCCGCCUCUUAAAGGAGAUCCGUGGGGAAAGACCUGGCUGGACAGCCUUUUACAUAGCCCCAGUGAAAACAAUGCAGGAAUCUGAAAAGGUCAUUAGGAAAAUAAAAACUUAAAGUCCUGAAAAGCUUUCUGACAAUUGUCCAAGGCCAUGCAGUCCUGAGGACACAGAGGACACCAGCCAUCCCUCAGCCACGACCCACGAGCCAACCCAAUCAGACCACAUCUUGUCUUUCAGGAAAAUGCACUGAAUUUUGUACCAUGCCCCCAAAAGCCUGGAUCAAAUUAAGAGUUUUAAUACUCAAAGUCAUUUAUAUUGUGUCUCUAAAGCAUAUACAAUAAAUGUACGCAUCACUCAGGAUAUAUUAAAAU
rnacentral:lncRNA from 1 species